UGUGCCUGAUCAGCACAUUGGGUGUGACUGAAUAAACUUACUGGCAUAUAGCUGGUUAAGGUGAUGCGACAGAGGUGGUGCUCGCUGUCAGGAAUGGCAGAACUACAAACCAAGUAGGUCGUAGGCAGAGUGGUAAUUCUAAACUGUAGAAAUGCCCUGCUCUUGUUGGUAUACAGGAUUCCAACCACCCUCCCU
ncrna:unclassified sequences manA RNA